GCAGUGCUGUAACGUUUGCAGCAUGUGUUUCUAUGGAAGUCAUCUUUCUUACUUUCUUUUAUCCAGGCAUCAAAAGAAAAACAAAAAGAAGAAGGCGAAGACUGGAGCACACACACAAUGGUUUUCCCUGUCAUCUUUGCCAAAGAAAAGAAGAAAGGAAACAAACACCAUUGCAUAUGAGUUAUGCACCUGUGCAUCCCUCAGGACGCGAACACAGCUACGUGAGCAAACUCUGUUAGCUAUUGACCCCCAGGACUGGGAGCAGCUUCACGGGACCAAAACCAGCUGCUUCCCUGCAGCCGUCAGGUCCAUGAGGCUGUUCUUCCCACGGGCUCGGCUCGGCUCGGCUCGGCUCCCUUCUGCG
rnacentral:lncRNA from 1 species